AAACUUCUCGUUUGGAGACUUGAAAAAUCCAAGUCACUGAGUGGUCGUGAGACUUCCGAGUAUCAAGGUACAGUAGCAUAUGGUAGGAGUUCCCUAAGUCUCCGGUCGAAGGAGUUGACGAAUGAGGCAUUUCCUUUUUAAGUGGUAGCCCAAAACUCCUUCUUCAUAUAUAUUUGUUAUGAAAGUUGUUAGGCCCAAAGAAGA
rnacentral:lncRNA from 1 species